rnacentral:rRNA from 1 species
GCCAAACAACUAGCUUAACCACCAAAACAAAUUUACACCAUAAAUAAUAAAGAUUUAACCCCAAAUCAAUUAACUAAAACAUUCUCCCAUCCUAAGUACGGGAGACAAAAAAGGAUCAAUUUAAAGCUAUAGAAAAAGUACCGCAAGGGAACGUUGAAAGAGAAAUGAAACAACCCAUAUAAGCCAUAAAAAUCAAAGACUAAAUCUUGUACCUUUUGCAUCAUGAUUUAGCAAGUCCACUCAAGCAAAGAGACCUUAAGUUUGAAACCCCGAAACCAAGUGAGCUACCCCGAGACAGCCUACAUAGAAUUAGGGCCAACCCAUCUCUGUGGCAAAAGAGUGGAAAGAGCUCCGGGUAGAGGUGACAGACCUAUCGAACUUGGUGAUAGCUGGUUGCCUAGAAAAUGAAUAUAAGUUCAGCCUCGCACACCCCAAAUCAAUAAAUCAUAUUAUUAAGAAACAUGAGAAAAAUGCGAGAGUUAGUUUAAGAGGGUACAGCCCCUAAAACAAAGGAUACAACCUUAACAGGAGAAUAAAGAUUAUAAUACUAAAAACACAAUGUUCUAGUAGGCCUAAAAGCAGCCACCUAAACAGAAAGCGUUAAAGCUCGGACAAAUAAAAGUUAAUUAUACCAAUAAAACAAUCUCACUUCCCCAAAUAAUACUAGGCCAUUCCAUGCAACCAUGGAAGAGAUUAUGCUAAAAUGAGUAACAAGAAGAACUUAACCUUCUCCUCGCACAAGUGUAAGUCAGAUCGGACCAACCACUGACAAUUAACGAACCCAAACAAAUGAGGGCAAUAUGAAUAACACAAUAAUCAAGAAAAUUACACAACCCAAAAUCGUUAUCCCUACACUGGGGUGCAACAAAGGAAAGACUAAAAGAAAAGGAAGGAACUCGGCAAACCCAAGCCUCGCCUGUUUACCAAAAACAUCGCCUCCUGCAAUAUAUAAGUAUAGGAGGUCCAGCCUGCCCAGUGACUACAAGUUCAACGGCCGCGGUAUUUUAACCGUGCAAAGGUAGCGCAAUCACUCGUCCUCUAAUUAAGGACCUGUAUGAAUGGUUAGACGAGGGCUUAACUGUCUCCCCUCUCCAGUCAGUGAAAUUGAUAUAUCCGUGCAGAAGCGGGUAUAAUAAUACAAGACGAGAAGACCCUUUGGAGCUUAAGGUACAAGAAUCAAUCAUGUUAAACAAACUUUUAAAGUCCUUAAACCUAGUGAAAAAUGAAACUCUACCUUCGGUUGGGGCGACCACGGAGAAAAAAACAACCUCCAAGUGGACCGGAUUAUUUCCAAAACCAAGAUAAAACACCUCUAAGUAACAGAACAUCUGACCAAAAAUGAUCCGGCCACAAGCCGAUCAACGAACCAAGUUACCCAAGGGAUAACAGCGCAAUCCUCUUCCAGAGUUCAUAUCGACAAGGGGGUUUACGACCUCGAUGUUGGAUCAGGACAUCCUAAUGGUGCAGCCGCUAUUAAGGGUUCGUUUGUUCAACGAUUAAAGUCCUACGUGAUCUGAGUUCAGACCGGAGCAAUCCAGGUCAGUUUCUAUCUGUAACGCCACUUUCCCCAGUACGAAAGGACCGGAAAAAGAGGGCCCACCCUACAAGUGCGCCCUACCCCAAUUUAAUGAACCCAAAUAAAUUAAACAACGGGAGGGCACAAACCAACUAUUCCUAAACAAGGAGUU